rnacentral:rRNA from 1 species
UACGUAGGGUGCGAGCGUUAAUCGGAAUUACUGGGCGUAAAGCGUGCGCAGGCGGUUCGUUGUGUCUGUGGUGAAAGCCCCGGGCUUAACCUGGGAAUGGCCAUGGAAACUGGCGAACUGGAGUGUGGCAGAGGGGGGUGGAAUUCCGCGUGUAGCAGUGAAAUGCGUAGAGAUGCGGAGGAACACCGAUGGCGAAGGCAGCCCCCUGGGCUAGCACUGACGCUCAGGCACGAAAGCGUGGGGAGCAAACAGG